GACUCUAUAGCUCAGCGGUUUAGAGCAUGCGAUUGCAGCUACGCUUCAUUAUCGCAGGGUCUCGUGUUCGAAUCACGAUAGGGUCU